UACAGAGGUCUCAAGCGUUGUUCGGAUUCAUUGGGCGUAAAGGGUGCGUAGGCGGUGAGGUACGUCGGAUGUGAAAUCUCGGGGCUUAACUCCGAAACUGCAUUCGAUACUGCCGUGCUUGAGGACUGGAGAGGAGACUGGAAUUUACGGUGUAGCGGUGAAAUGCGUAGAUAUCGUAAGGAAGACCAGUGGCGAAGGCGGGUCUCUGGACAGUUCCUGACGCUGAGGCACGAAGGUCAGGGGAGCAAACGGG
rnacentral:rRNA from 1 species